GUUUUAGUAGCAUAGUGGCUAAUGCACGGCACUGGUUAGACACGAAACCCGGGUUCAAAUCCCGCCUGAGAUG
rnacentral:tRNA from 1 species